GUCAGGUGCAGUGGCGCACGCCUGUAAUCCCAGCAGCUCAGGAGGCUGAGGCAGGAGGAUGGGGAGUUCAAAGCCAGCUUAGUAAAUUAGUGAGGUGCUAAGCCACUCAGUGAGACCCUGUCUCUA
rnacentral:sRNA from 1 species